AUGGCGGGGCCUCCCCGCCCAGCGCCGGCCGCUCCGCCCGUCCGCCGUUCCGCCCGCCUCCGCCCACAGGCGACCCACCAGCCCCCCUGCUCUCCCCCGCCACCGUCCCCGCCGGCCGCGGCGGGGUCUCCAGGAGGAACGGACCCCCGACGGUCGGUGCGCAUCAGCGUCCGGACUCGCGUCCGUGGCCUCCCCUCGGCGGCGCCGUCGUCCUCGCGGAUACGGCGCAAGUCCCCCGCGGCGCCUCUGCGGCGGACAGUACAGGCAUGCGCGGAGGAGUGGGGGGCAGCGAAGGCCGCGUCAGGCGCCCCGGCGGAGGAGUGCGUCCUCCCGUUCCUCCAGAAAGGCGCGCCGAGGAAGGUUGAAUGCCUGAUUUGCUCGAGGAGUAUCCUGCCCGAUGAAAGGACGCGAUGCUCAGGUCAUCACUGUGAAGUAACCUUGCAUAAGGCCUGUUCUGAACAAAGUGAUGGAAGCUGCCCUCGACAUAUAUGUUUUCACUGCAAAAGGAGAACAACUUGGCACCGGCUGAAACAUGUAAUGCCUGCAUGUACACAAUGUUCGCUGCAUCAAAACAGAAUGACUGGGUCUGUUGAUCCUUCAAAGCUAAUGAUAAGUUGGAGUAUUUGGCCAUCAACGAGUGAGGAAGCCUUCCGGCGAUUACCUCUCCCGUAUGCUGAUCAAGAGUUCAAUAUUAACCCUAUUAGGAAGGAGGAGUUGGAAAGUGUGACAAAACCACCUCCAUAUGUACAUUUGAAGCAUAAUGUGUAUUUUGUCAAGAAGAAAUGUGAUGGUGAUGUCAUUGAAGCUAAAUGCAGCGAUUGUGACCCUCCUCUGACCUGUCAAAUAAGAUGCUCGUGCAGGUCUGUGUCCAUUAGCUGCUCUCAGGCUUGCAAGUGCUCAAAUAAGUGCAGUAACAGACCAUUUCGCAGAGAGAAAAGGAUCGGGGUUGUUAAGACACAACAUUGUGGAUGGGGUGCCAUAGCAUUGGAAACCAUUGAGGAAGGUGAUUUUGUGAUAGAGUUUGUCGGAGAAGUUAUAGAUGGCGCGAGAUGUGAAGAGAGGCUUCAAGACAUGAAAAAGCGCCGAGAUCAAAAUUUCUACAUGUGUAAAGUCAACAACAACUUUAUAAUAGAUGCAACAUUCAGAGGAAAUGAUUGUCGCUUUUUUAACCACAGCUGCAGACCUAACUGUCAGUUGGAGAAUUGGCAAGUAAAUGGCAAGACAAGGUUAGGUGUGUUUUCUUUACAGGGUAUACAAGUGGGUGAGCCCUUGACCUACAAUUACAGCUUCCAGCAGCAUUUUGGUCCACAGACGGAAUGUUUCUGUGGCGCUGAAAACUGCCGAGGGAAGCUGUGA
rnacentral:rRNA from 1 species